rnacentral:rRNA from 1 species
UGGGGAAUAUUGCACAAUGGGCGGAAGCCUGAUGCAGCGACGCCGCGUGAGGGAUGACGGCCUUCGGGUUGUAAACCUCUUUCAGUACCGAAGAAGCGUAAGUGACGGUAGGUGCAGAAGAAGCGCCGGCUAACUACGUGCCAGCAGCCGCGGUAAUACGUAGGGCGCGAGCGUUGUCCGGAAUUAUUGGGCGUAAAGAGCUCGUAGGCGGUUUGUCGCGUCUGUCGUGAAAUCCUCUGGCUUAACUGGGGGCGUGCGGUGGGUACGGGCAGACUAGAGUGCGGUAGGGGAGACUGGAAUUCCUGGUGUAGCGGUAAAAUGCGCAGAUAUCAGGAGGAACACCGGUGGCGAAGGCGGGUCUCUGGGCCGUUACUGACGCUGAGGAGCGAAAGCAUGGGGAGCGAACAGG